rnacentral:lncRNA from 1 species
GUAGAAUAUCACAUCUUUAGAUUUUUAUGUUGUAUAUGAUAUCACAUCUUUAGCACAAAUAACAACUUAAUGUCAUAAUUCGAAAUAAAUAUUUUAGCUUCUUAAAGCCUUACAAUUAUACUUAUAAUAAAAUAACUUAUCUAAUAUAUUAUCAAGAUCCAACAAAAGAAAUCAAGACCAUUAUUGAAUCCACCCCUGAUGUCACAAUACCAGAGCCUUACAAUCGAACUAAACAUAAACAAUAAUUCAAUAAACUUUCAAUAUACUUUCAAGAACAUCAUGGCAUAGGUUAGAAAACAUUUCUCCACUUUAUUCUCGGGAAAAAAAAAUUCGAUACUACACCUUAGUCUUGUCUUGAAGAUAACCUACAUAUAAAUCACAGAAGAGAGAAGAGUAGAAUAGAAAAUAAAGGGUAAGAGAUAUUAUACAUCAUUUAAAGUAGUAUAACAAUAGAGACAAAUAAAAAAAGUAAUAGUUUUUUAGGUUUCUAAAUGUGUAACAAGUAGGCACAAUAGUCACUUAAUGUAUCGAAAUUUAAAAAUUAUCCUUAAUUGUACAAUAUAUUAGUCAAAAUAGUCAUUUACGUUAAAAUGUCUCUUUAUUAUUUUCAUACUAAUUAAUCCUUCAAUAUAAAGUAUUUGUUGUCAUAUCAGUCCCUAUAUUGAAAGAGUUAAUGUCGAAAUUGAGAGACUAAUUUGACCUUAAGAAUUAUUUUGACCAGUAAAGUGCAGAAUUAAAAACAAUUUUGAAAAUUCUAUACAUUGAGGAACUAUUAUGAUUAUUGGUUACAAAUUCAGGGAUCAAAAUUACCAUCACCUAAAAAACACAAGGAUCCAUUUAAAUCACUAAACUAUAUGGUUUGUAUAUAAUUGUUCAAGAGAUGUAUAUCAAAUGUACUGAUCUUCCACCUUUACACUAUAUGCAUUCUGUACAAUUAAAACAUACUCAAUAUAGUAGAUAGAAGAACAUAUUCAAUUAAUGAAGAGCAAUACUCCUUUGAGUACUCAAGAUAGUAUAUUGCACUAUAUGCGUGAGAUAUUUGGUGAUGAUUUAUAAAAGAAAUUGCAAUAAUCAUCUAUACUAUGUAUAAAGAAAAUAUAUUUAAUAUACAUGAGUUUCAGCCGACUUGUUCAUUACAUUUUUACCCUUCGUUUAAACUAUUUUAUUUACUAUUUUAUUCUUUAAUAAUAUUAUUUUAAAUUUUAAAUAAAAAUAAAUAAAUCCCAGUAAAAUAAGAAAUGUCCUACUAUAAUAGAAAGAAUAUCAUUAAUAUUAUGUAUGAUGGGGAUAGAGAUUUUGGGUUAAUUUUUUUAUAAUUCUAAUUAUAUCCUUGAACAAAUUUUCAUAUAUUAAUGUUAAAUUGCCGGUGGUAUUAAUAAAGAUAAUGGUUUAUAUUAUAUUUGUUAAAUUAAUUUUGUUAUUGAAAAAGAGAAACAUGGUCUUUUGAAUUUGUUACAAUUUGAAAGUCAUGAAUAUUUGUUCUUAUAAUUUUAAUCAAAAUCAAAAUUUCAUAUAAAAAUAAAGUUCAUAAUUUAAUGUGUUAGCCCAAUAAAAAGAACGGAUUCAGUAGUAAACAUAAAGAAUGCUGUAAAUUAUUUUCUUGCCACAUUGGAUAUGACAGAAGAAAAGUCUCAUGUGAUAGCUAUAAUGCAUAUAGGAAUUAAGAUAACCACAAACCAAAUAAUGUUUGUUAAAUUAAAUGUUUUUAACUGAAUAUGAAAAUACAAAGGAAUAGUAAUAGAAAAUUGGCCUUCAAAAAAUAAUAGAAAAUUGAAAAAAUCAUUAUAAAAGAGGAACCAUACUUAAGGAAGGAAGGAAAACAUUUCCUUCUGGUUAAACUAGUGAAUUUCGGGAAAUAAAAUUAGGGUGAAUUAGUUAAAGAGGAACCGUACUUAAGGAAGGAAAUAAAUUUUGGUUUUCAUGAUUGGUGGAGACAUCCACUUUUUUGUAUGAGUGCAUGUAAUUUUGUUAUUUCUUUUUCGGUGGUGGCAACCUCUUAUUAGGUGUCAUGACUUUGUAACAGAUAUUGUGUGAUUCAUCACUUUUAGCACAUCUUGUGCGGGGUGAAUCACUUUUCGUUUUAGCAAUAUAUUUCAUUUUGAUUUAUUAAAAAAAAACCAUAAACCUUGAGGAGGGAAUGGUAAAAUAGAUUAAUAUAUUCAAGUAUGCAUAGAUUUCUUAACGAUUCUUCGGAAUUUCGAGUUAUUGAGUUGCAUAUGUAUGUAUUUUUCUUAGUAAUAUUUGUGUGACAUGGAUUUAAAUAUUAAGAUUCUUAUGUUAUAUUUCCAUCAAGCUAAGGUAUUUUAUCUUUUUUCAACACUUGAAUUUGGUUCUUUUAUCAACUUUAAGUGACGCUUGAAUUUAGUUUCUUUAAGUAUGAGUCUUUUGUGAAUAAUGGUUGAGAAAACGAGACAACGAGAGUGGUACUAGAAUUUGAAAAAAAAUAAAAAAUUGAAAGAAGUAUAUCUUUUUAUUUUCCUUCAAAAAAAAAAAGUAUAUCUUUUUAUUUAUUCGAAAUUCACUACACUUACAAAAUUACACUUAUUUUAUACUCUUUUUUUUAAAUAGAAUAAAAUAUCAUUUUUUUGUAAAAAUAUAGAAGGUGCACACUAUAAACUUACAUCUUCAUGAGAAAAGAAAAUGAAAGGUUUAGACGUAAUAGAAAAAAAUUACCUUAUUUAUACCAAAGAACACAAACAUUUUCAACGCAUUUCCAAAUUUUAAAAAGAGGUUUCUUGCUUUUGUAACAAUCAUCAACAAUACCACAAUAUUCUGUAAUGUAAAAUAAGAAUAAAUUAAUACUAAUAAAAAGGAAAUAAAGAAUGUGUAUAAGAUAAUAAACAAAUGUGAAUGAACUUACUUAUAUGACCUAUAUCUUCGAAGAUUACAACAAGAAACAGGUGAACAAAAAGGAUGAAUGUAUAAAUAAAUUUGAACAUUUCUCCCAUUGUUUUUCCC